rnacentral:rRNA from 1 species
AACGAACGCUGGCGGCAUGCCUAACACAUGCAAGUCGAACGAGACCUUCGGGUCUAGUGGCGCACGGGUGCGUAACGCGUGGGAACCUGCCCUUAGGUUCGGAAUAACUCCCCGAAAGGGGUGCUAAUACCGGUUAAUGUCUUCGGCCCAAAGAUUUAUCGCCUUUGGAUGGGCCCGCGUUGGAUUAGCUUGUUAGUAGGGUAAAAGCCUACCAAGGCGACGAUCCAUAGCUGGUCUGAGAGGAUGAUCAGCCACACUGGGACUGAGACACGGCCCAGACUGCUACGGGAGGCAGCAGUGGGGAAUAUUGGAAAAUGGGCGAAAGGCUGAUCCAGCAAUGACGCGUGAGUGAUGAAGGCAUUAGGGUUGUAAAGCUCUUUUACCAGGGAUGAUAAUGACAGUACCGGGAGAAUAAGCACCGGCUAACUCCGUG